CUUUAAAACAUUAAAUAUUUUUUAUUGGCCAAUUCAUAACUUAAGUAUUAGUCAAUAAAACUCUUAAAUGUCACAAAUUUUUCACCACGAGGAACAAUACAAAAAUUAAUUUUAGAUAAACACUGUACAAAACUGUAGGUCUGUUAUAACAACUUCUGAGCUACUAAUGUAGGCAGUAGGCAGCAUUUUAAGGCAUCAUACAUGUCUUCACAGAACAAAAGGUAUAAUUUUUGCCAGAUUUUAAGGCAGCAUCACAUGUAUUUUUCACAACGAAGGAAACCCCAUGCACAUGAGCUCACUCAACGUUGUACAAGGUAAGAGAAAUAUAAAGUUGAUUAUAAGUAUUUACAUUCCAUUCGGUACGAAAAAGUACAAAGUCAUUAGUUUAAUCCUAUUAAAAUGGACUAUUUUGCCCGAUUUUUGUGUGUGGGCUACGUAUUUUUAUGCUUACCACCAGAGAAUAUCGUCGAUAGCUUAGCAGCAUGCUAAUGUUAAAUUCUACUGAUCAGUUGUGAGUCGAGUACAGAGAACGCUAUUUGUGUGCUGCAUGGAGUUGCUGCCUAUCUAGAGUGUUCCAGAUCUGUCACUUAUGAGGUUUAAUGGCUGUUUGGAUGCUCACUUAGAAGAUAGUUGUUCACUAAAAUUAUGCCUAACAUAUUAGUAAACAUUCUUUUUAAUUAUUAUUAUUAUUUUAUUUUUAUUUUGUCAAAUAAAGUGCACUAUAGAAUGAGAAUAUCCCUGUCUAAAUUAUGUAUAGCACUUAUUUCUGACAAGCAAUUGCAAGUGUUUGUUGGUGUGUCUUCAGUUGCACUUUAUUUCCUCUCCAAACCACCAUCAGUUGGUUGGUGAAGGAAAUGUACUGUAUUUAUUGAUUUUGAAAGUGUCUUCAUAGCUUUUGUCUGUGGUACUUGGCUGUCAAGUUAAAUUCAAUUAAAUUCACAUUUAUUUGUAUAGUACUUUUCACAAUAUCGUUUCAAAGCAGCUUUACAGAAAAUGUAUGUCAACAUUUCAAUUUAGAGUAAUCUGUUGUCAAAGGUGACUGUGUCCGAAUUAUGUAAUUUCAGAAAUGUACAUACACAAAUCACGCAGUUAGCUAACCAUGUAUUAAUUUAUUAUUUUAAGGUAGAAACAAUGAGCUCAUGGAAGUAAUGAAUACAUGUUAACACAAUGAUUAUAGCAAAAUUUGGAAUGAUGCAUGUUGAUCCAGAGUUUGCAUCAUCUGAAUUCCUCGCAGGGGUUGGGGUCAUCUCUUCACAGGUGUUGAGGCAUCUGAAGUCUUCAUAAGAGGCUGAAUCCAAACUGGAGCUGAUGUACUCUCUAGUCACCUCGGGAUGGGCAUCCCGAGAUAAAACAGAAAAGCAAAGCAAAUGGAGAAUAAUUAGCGUAGCUGCUGUUCAUAACAUUAAGCAAAGAUAGUCAUGUGCAUUUGAUCUGAUAUGAGUACAAGGAUAUGAGAUGCAUUAUGUGAACGCUUGGCUAAAGAGAUGCUAGAUUUAAACUGGGUGUGUGAGUCUGAGCCCCGAACAUUAUCAGGAAGGCUAUUCCAGAGUUUAGGAGCCAAAUGUGAAAAUGCUCUCCCUCCUUUAGUGGACUUAGAUAUCCUAGGUACAACCAGAAGUCCAGUUUUGUGAUCUUAAAGAGCGUGAUGGAUUGUAGGGCGAUAGAAGAUUGGUUAAAUACACAGGAGCUAAACCAUUUAGGGCCUUAUAGGUCAGUAGCAGAACUUUAUAAUUGAUACGGAACUUAAUAGGUAACCAGUGUAGAUGUUACAAAGGUAGCGCAAAAGCGCCACCUAGUGGCCAUUAGUAGAUGUGCUGGAAGUGAUUGCGUACGAGAAAUAUGUAUGACAAAAACAGCUGCGCCACGGGAAGUCUGUUCCAGAAGUCGCGAUGCAGUGUUUGGGUUAAUUAUUAAUAAUUGUGUGCGUCCAUUUGAGAAAACCACACACCCAACAUGCUCAUGAUUAUAAUGUAAACCUACCAUCUCCAUCUCCAUAAGCUGAGUGGCAACUACUGCAUCCAAAUCUGCACCUGUAUUGUAAAAAUGUGGCAACGUUGCUUUCUAAUGUAUGUCUGUGCUGCUGAAGAAAGUUCAGUAAACUGUUCAAACUGAUUCCUGCCUCCUGUCCUGCGUCCUGACCGAAGCUCCAGGGUGAGAACUAUAACCUCCUAAGCACCUGUGGUCCUUUCUCUCAAACAGUAGAGAUGAUAAAAUUGGUUUUAUAUGAUCAUAUUUUCUUGACCUAGUAAGAACUCUAGCAUCUGCAUUUUGGACUAAUUGUAGCUUGUUUAUUGAGGAUGCAGGACAACCAGCUAGUAAUGCAUUACAGUAAUCUAGUCUAGAGGUAAUGAAUGCAUGAACUAACUUUUCUGCAUCAGAAACAGAUAAAAUGUUCUGUAGCUUAGCAAUGUUUCUGAGGUGGUAGAAGGCUGUUUUUGUAACAUAUGAAUUUUCAAAGGACAAGUUGCUGUCUAAUAUAACACCUAGGUCUUUAACUGUAGAGGAUGAAGUAACAGUACAUCUUUCUAAAUGCAAAUUGUAGUCUAAAAGAGAUUCUGUGAACAGGUUUCUGGUCCAAUAAGUAGUACCUCAGUCUUAUCUGAAUUUAAUAGAAGAAAAUCAUCGGCAUAGAAGUGGAAAUUUUUUCCAUGUUUUCUCAUAAUAUAAAAUAGCAGAGGGCCUAACACAGAUCCUUGCUGCACUCCAUAAUUUACUGAUCUUCGAUUUUUUCCCCAUUUAAAUAUACAAAAUUGUAACGGUCUGAUAGGUAUGAUCAAAACCACCUUAGUGCCUGUCCCUGAAUACCAGUGUAAUAUUGUAGUCGAUCCAAGAGUAUUUUAUGAUCUAUAGUGUCGAACGCAGCACUGAGAUCAAGUAACACUAGUAUUGAGAUACAGCCUUGGUCAGAAGCUAGAAGUAAGAAAUUUGUAAUUUUAACAAGCGCAGUUUCUGUGCUGUGAUGAGGCCUGAAUCCUGACUGAAAUUUUUCAUAAAAAUCAUUUUUUUGCAAGAAGGAGUAUAAUUGGGCCAACACAACUUUUUCUAAUAUUUUAGACAUAAAUGGAAGAUUUGAAAUGGGUCUGUAAUUUGCUAAUACAUUUAUAUCUAAUUGUGGUUUCUUAAUGAGAGGCUUAAUAACUGCCAGCUUGAAUGGUUAAUAAUAUUGAGAAGAAGCUCUCCUGCAACAGGUAACAACUCUUUCAGCAGUUUAGUGGGUAUUGGAUCUAAUAAAUAUGUUGUUGGUUUAGAUGCUGUGAUAAGUUUAUUUAGCUCUUCCUGUCCUAUAGUUGUAAAGCACUGCAACUGUUCUUGAGGGGUGAUAAGUGAGGCUGAAUCAUAAAACACUGUCAAAGGUUGUACAUUUACAAUUGUAUUUCUGAUGCUUUCGAUUUUCUCAGUGAAGAAAUUACUACUAAAAGUCAUUACUACUAAUGGAAUAUUUUGUUCCACUGAUGUCUGUUUACUUGUUAAUCUAGCCACUGUACUAAACAAGAACCUUAGAUUGUUUUGGUUAUUUUCUAUGAGUUUGUGGAGAUGCUUGGACUUGGCUGCUUUUAGAGCCUUUUUAUAACGGGAAGUGCUGUCUUUCCACGCAUUCUAAAGACCUCUAAACGAGUUUGUCUCCAUUUUUGCUCUAGAUUACGCGUUUCGCUCUUGAUAGCAUGGGUAAUACUGUUGUACCUUUUUUAAUCUGAUGGGUGUAACAGUUUCUAAUGUACUAGAGAAAAUAGUGCCCUCAUUUCCUCAAGUUCAUUUGUGUGUUUGGGUACACUGAGCAGCUGAGACAGAUCAGGCAGGUUAUUUGUGAAUCUGUCUAUAGUUGUCGGGAGAAUUGUUCUACCUAGUCGAUAACACGGUUCAAUAUGCCAAAUAUCAGCAGUAUGCAGUAUGCACAUUACAAGGUAGUGAUCAGUGACAUCAUCACUUUGCAGUAGAAUUUCUAUAUCAGUAUGAUUGGAUCCAUGUGAUAUAAUUAAAUCUAGUCUAUGAUUAAAACGUUGAGUGGGUCUAGUGACAUUUUGCUUGACCCCAAAGGAAUUUAGUAAAUCUAUAAGCGCAUCAUUUGUAUUGUCUACAUGAAUGUUAAAAUCUCCAACAGUCAGUGCUUUAUUUAUGUUGACCAGUAGGUCUGAGAGAAAAAUAAGCAAACUGUUUUAGGAAAACAACAUAAGGCCCUGGAGGUCUAUAUAUGGUAGCCAAAACAAGAGAUAGUAGGGACUUUUUUCUUAUAUCUGAAAGUGUAACAUUUAGCACAAGCACUUCAAAUGAAUUAAACCCAUGUUCUGUUUUCUGAGUAACAUUAAAGGCAGGAACACACCAAGCCGACAGUCGGCCAACUAAGUUUUCUCAGUGUGUUCUGCACCGUCAGCUGAAGUUGGUCCUCGUCAGCUUUUUUUUCGGCCGAUUGGACAUGUUGAAUCGGCGUCGGAGCUCGUCGGUCUGUCGGGCCAUCUGAUCAUUUUGAUUGGCUGUUCAGCUACUGCCACCUGCUGGUAUGGAAAGGCAUUUCAUCUUAUGCAUGCGCAGAAUAGACGUGCUACUUGGCCGUCGACUGUCGAGCGUCGGUUUGGUGUGUCAGGGCAACUUUGGACCCAGACACUGCCGACGUGAGUCAACCCCGCAGUCUGCUUUCAUCGCCACUAUUUCGUCGGCGUCGGCUUGGUGUGUUCCUGCCUUAAGAAUGUCUCUAUAGAUAGUUGCAACACCGCCGCCAUGUCCAAUCAGACAGGGCUUGUGCUUAUAACAUUAGCCUGGUAGACUAGACUCAUUAAAACCAAAAUAAUCAUUUGGUUUAAGCCAGGUUUCAGUAAGGCAAAUUACAUCAAAACAAUUAUCUGUGAUCAUUUCAUUUACAAUAGCCGCCUUAGGUGUUAGCGAUCAAAUGUUUAGGAGCCAAAGCUUUAGAAAUGGUUGUUGUUCAGAAAUUUUGAGAUUUUUCUAGAUCCUAUAGAUAAAUUGUUUGACCUCACUAUUCGGGGAAUAAACAGUUUCAAUAGACUAUACUACACUCACAUUUCUAUCAAUUAAGUGGGUAGAACAAAGACUGUGAUUUGAGGUUUGACUAGCUAGUCAUACGGUGCGUAGCAUCUUGGAGAUGUUGUCCGACAGAAGAUCUGCAUCGAUUCUGCUGGGGUGCAGGCCAUCAGCACGGAAGAGCCUAGGCCACUUCCAGAAAAGAUUUCAAUUAUUUACAAAGAGCAGCUUCUGUUCAUUAGACCAUGACAUUAACCAUUCAUUUAAAGCAAAUAAUCUACUGAACCUUUCAUGUCCUCGUCGGUACAUUGGAAGCGGUCCGGACACGAUGAUCCUCGUCGCGGGUGAUGUGCUCCGUACUGUCUCGAUCAGGCUCCUGAAAUCCUGCCUCAGAAUCUCCAUCUGCCACAGCCUGAUGUCGUUCACCCCUGCGUGCAGCACUACAGCUCCGAUGCUCUCGUCACCAUUCAGGAUCGCGGGUACCUGCGCAGCAACAUCGAGAACACAGGCACCAGGAAAGCAGUGAAUGUGCACCUUACCUUUAGCUGAGGUAGCAUGGACGUGACAGACGAUAGAGUCUCAGAUGACCACAGCGCCGCGUUCUGUCUCACGAAAAGGGGAGAAGCGAGUUUGGGUGGAGAUCUUUUUUAAAAAGAAAUAUAGGCAAUUAGGAAUCAACUGGACUGACUCUAGUUUGGCAACUCAAACAGUGCGGCAGCAUCAAACAGGAAGUGACGAUGAAGUGUGGUUUUGCUGGGCUGUGACGUAAACUAAAGGCUGUUGGCUAUAAUAUUACUGACACAAGAUGCUCCAUCUGGUACAGAAUUUACUCUCUCCAGAUGUGACGAGAUGACAAGGAGAUGUAGUGAAACACCACAGAUGUCUUCCUCCGUGACCAGUGAUGAAGUAGUUUUGCCGAGGUCUUCUGAGCGAGGAGACGUCAACAAUUCAGUGUGCAUAGUAGCUAGUACUUUGGCUAGAUUAGCAUAAUUAUUGCCUUGAUUGAAGCUCUACUUCAGUUUCUAAUUUUAAAGUGUGAAUUUGUUAAAUAUGUUCAUGCUUAUGCUUUGCCAUGAUUUGCUUCACAAUUAUUAAUUUAUUAUGUAUUUUAUAACAUUUUAUAACACUCAUCUAUAAGCAGAGUUGGCAUUUUUGUUUUCUAUUCUAGGUUUGUUUUUGACCACUGCCAUAGGGUGGGACAAAUCCUGAGAUAAUAAUAGAUCCGUUUGUGGCUCCUCUGCAUAAUUACAGGGUUUGAUGGGUGUUUCACAGUAAAUCUAUUUCUACACCCAGUGAAACAUGAAGUUGAAAGCAGGACGUACAACAUCACAACUGUCCAGCAAAGACUAAUUUGUUGUCUAAAAGACGAUUCCCACAAUACAAAAAAAUUGAAGUAUUAAUCAUAAUUUGUCCCAUGUAUAACAACUGAUACAAUUGAACUGGACUGGCAUUUUAUAAAGGAAAUAUCAAUGCUUGCAAGAGAGCAAAAGAAUAGUGCUGACAUUUUCAGUAAGCUUGCAUUUCAGCCUUAGCUCUGUGUAAAUUAAAUGCCACAUUGUUUCACAUCAUCAGUCAGCUGCACACGAGAAUCACUGAGAGUCACUGUACAGUGUAAAGAUUGCUAUAAAUAGUUCAGUAUAUGCAAGGAAGACGAUACCAGUCACUGUUCAGUAUGCAUAUAUGCAAAAGUCAUGAUCAUUCUAUUGGAUAAAUUUUAACUGCUUGACAUAUCAGUGUAUGGGAGGCUUUCAAACUUAUCAAAUAUUUAAAUGGAUGUGUGUAAAACAAUAAUAGCACAUCAAAGGCUUAUAUAAUCCACAAAACAUUUCCUGGUGUUUAGUUCAGAAAAAACCUUGAGCAUAAUGUUUGAGUAACAUCAGUAUAGUGCGGCCUUCCAAAGACUGUAAGAAGUGCAGAACAGAUGUAUGUAUGGAAAUGUUUUCACUAUCUGUGAGAGCUCACGUUAUCAGAUUUCAUCAGAAACAGUGUGUAACAGAAUCUUUGAAGUGUCCAAAUCCAAUAAUGUGGUGGUGGGGGGAUUCUGUAUCUCUACCAUGAAAGCUUGAACAGUGAGGAUGUUAAACACAAAGACACAAAUACAAAAAAAUGUUAGACUGAUUGAUGGAUUGUUUAUUAAACAAUAUCAGAAGAAAAAUGUAGGUUGUAUACUACAUCAUGUCAGCAAUAAGUGUGCUCUCAACCAGAUGCAGACUUUGUUUUUUUUUUUGAUUGUUGCAGAUACCAAAGUAAACACGACCCAUUUUACUUUGAUAGUUUCAUUUGGAAUCAUCCAACAAUGAAGUAAAUGUAUAACAUUUUGAUUUCAUGUCAUUUGACAUUUUAUUUGACUACAGGAAUGUUAUUGCUGUUCUACACUAAAAUGAAGAAGCUGAGAUUAUUUAUCAUUCAAACAUACACUACCAUUCAAAAG